ACUGCCUGCCCAUGAGGUUUGGGGGCAGGGGUUUCACCCAUACGUAGCUCAGGACCCGGCUGCAUGAGCGAUCACCUGUCCCCCCACCCCCGGCCCCACCUGAGGCCAGUCAGGAAGCCUGACCAGUGGGACCCCUGCAACUCUGCCCCCCGCCCCGGGGUUGGAAAUAGAGUCUGUGACCAGUGGGAGUCACACAAGACUCACCUUUCCCCAGGCCUUGGGAACGCAGGGGGCUGUGAGUGCAGGGGAGGGAGCUGUUGGGGGUGGAUCUGGGGGUGGGGGAUGAUCUGAGG